rnacentral:rRNA from 1 species
GACGAACGCUGGCGGCGUGCCUAAUACAUGCAAGUCGAGCGGACAGAAGGGAGCUUGCUCCCGGAAGUUAGCGGCGGACGGGUGAGUAACACGUGGGCAACCUACCCUGUAGAUCGGGAUAACAUCGAGAAAUCGGUGCUAAUACCGGAUAAUCAUUUGAAGUGCAUGCUUCGAAUGUAAAAGAUGGCUCCGGCUAUCACUACGGGAUGGGCCCGCGGCGCAUUAGCUGGUUGGUAAGGUAAUGGCUUACCAAGGCAACGAUGCGUAGCCGACCUGAGAGGGUGGUCGGCCAGACGUGGACUGAGCCACGGCCCAGACUCCUACGGGAGGCAGCAGUAGGGAAUCUUCCGCAAUGGACGAAAGUCUGACGGAGCAACGCCGCGUGAGUGAUGAAGGUUUUCGGAUCGUAAAGCUCUGUUGUUAGGGAAGAACAAGUGCCGUUUGAAUAAGGCGGCACCUUGACGGUACCUAACCAGAAAGCCACGGCUAACUACGUGCCAGCCGCCGCGGUAAUAC